rnacentral:rRNA from 1 species
AGAGUUUGAUCCUGGCUCAGAACGAACGCUGGCGGCGUGCCUAACACAUGCAAGUCGAACGUGAAAGUCCUUCGGGAUGAGUAAAGUGGCGCACGGGUGAGUAAUGCGUAGAUAAUCUGCCUGGUGAUCUGGGAUAACAUCUCGAAAGGGGUGCUAAUACCGGAUAAGCCCACGGAGUCUUCGGACUUUGCGGGAAAAGGGGGGGACCUUCGGGCCUUCUGUCACCAGAUGAGUCUACGUACCAUUAGCUAGUUGGUGGGGUAAGAGCCCACCAAGGCUACGAUGGUUAGCUGGUCUGAGAGGAUGAUCAGCCACACUGGAACUGAGACACGGUCCAGACUCCUACGGGAGGCAGCAGUGGGGAAUUUUGCGCAAUGGGGGAAACCCUGACGCAGCAACGCCGCGUGAGUGAUGAAGGCCUU